rnacentral:rRNA from 1 species
UACGUAGGGUGCAAGCGUUGUCCGGAAUUAUUGGGCGUAAAGAGCUCGUAGGCGGUUUGUCGCGUCGAAUGUGAAAACCCGGGGCUCAACCCCGGGCCUGCAUUCGAUACGGGCAGACUAGAGUUCGGUAGGGGAGUCUGGAAUUCCUGGUGUAGCGGUGAAAUGCGCAGAUAUCAGGAGGAACACCGGUGGCGAAGGCGGGACUCUGGGCCGAUACUGACACUGAAGCGCGAAAGCUAGGGGAGCAAACGGG